rnacentral:rRNA from 1 species
GACGUAGGGCGCGAGCGUUGUCCGGAUUUAUUGGGCGUAAAGAGCUCGUAGGCGGCUUGUCGCGUCGACUGGUGAAAACCCGCGGCUCAACCGCGGGCCUGCAGCCGAUACGGGCAGGCUAGAGUUCGGUAGGGGAGACUGGAAUUCCUGGUGUAGCGGUGAAAUGCGCAGAUAUCAGGAGGAACACCGGUGGCGAAGGCGGCUCUCUGGGACGGUACUGA